rnacentral:rRNA from 1 species
GAUGAACGCUGGCGGCGUGCCUAAUACAUGCAAGCCGAGCGAAUGGAUUAAGAGCUUGCUCUUAUGAAGUUAGCGGCGGACGGGUAAGUAACACGUGGGUAACCUGCCCAUAAGACUGGGAUAACUCCGGGAAACCGGGGCUAAUACCGGAUAACAUUUUGAACCGCAUGGUUCGAAAUUGAAAGGCGGCUUCGGCUGUCACUUAUGGAUGGACCCGCGUCGCAUUAGCUAGUUGGUGAGGUAACGGCUCACCAAGGCAACGAUGCGUAGCCGACCUGAGAGGGUGAUCGGCCACACUGGGACUGAGACACGGCCCAGACUCCUACGGGAGGCAGCAGUAGGGAAUCUUCCGCAAUGGACGAAAGUCUGACGGAGCAACGCCGCGUGAGUGAUGAAGGCUUUCGGGUCGUAAAACUCUGUUGUUAGGGAAGAACAAGUGCUAGUUGAAUAAGCUGCACCUUGACGGUACCUAACCAGAAAGCCACGGCUAACUACGUGCCAGCCGCCGCAGUAA